rnacentral:rRNA from 1 species
AUUGAACGCUGGCGGCAGGCUUAGCACAUGCAAGUCGAGCGGGGUGAUGGUGCUUGCACUAUCACUUAGCGGCGGACGGGUGAGUAAUGCUUAGGAAUCUGCCUAUUAGUGGGGGACAACAUCUCGAAAGGGAUGCUAAUACCGCAUACGUCCUACGGGAGAAAGCAGGGGAUCACUUGUGACCUUGUGCUAAUAGAUGAGCCUAAGUCGGAUUAGCUAGUUGGUGGGGUAAAGGCCUACCAAGGCGACGGUCUGUAGCGGGUCUGAGAGGAUGAUCCGCCACACUGGGACUGAGACACUGCCCAGACUCCUACGGGAGGCAGCAGUGGGGAAUAUUGGACAAUGGGGGGAACCCUGAUCCAGCCAUGCCGCGUGUGCGAAGAAGGCCUUAUGGUUGUAAAGCACUUUAAGCGAGGAGGAGGCUUACCUAGUUAAUACCUGGGAUAAGUGGACGUUACUCGCAGAAUAAGCACCGGCUAACUCUGUGCCAGCCGCCGCGGUAA